CAUCUGUUAAUCGAGAGGUGAGAUUGGAUGG
rnacentral:piRNA from 1 species